rnacentral:rRNA from 1 species
UGUGGACGGGAUAAGUGCUGAAAGCAUCUAAGCAUGAAGCCCCCCUCAAGAUGAGAUUUCCCAUUACGCAAGUAAGUAAGAUCCCUCAAAGACGAUGAGGUAGAUAGGUUCGAGGUGGAAGUGUGGUGACACAUGGAGCUGACGAAUACUAAUCGAUCGAGGACUUAACCAAAA